UCGGGAAUUUUGGGCAAUGGGCGCAAGCCUGAUCCAGCCAUGCCGCGUGGAUGAUGAAGGCCUUAGGGUUGUAAAAUCCUUUCGCCGAGGACGAUAAUGACGGUACUCGGAGAAGAAGCUCCGGCUAACUUCGUGCCAGCAGCCGCGGUAAUACGAAGGGGGCUAGCGUUGUUCGGAUUUACUGGGCGUAAAGCGCGUGUAGGCGGGUCGUUAAGUUGGGGGUGAAAUCCCGAGGCUCAACCUCGGAACUGCCUUCAAAACUGGCGACCUGGACCUAAGUAGAGGCAAGUGGAAUUGCGAGUGUAGAGGUGAAAUGCGUAGAUAUGCGGAGGAACACCGAUGGCGAAGGCAAUCCCCUGGACCUGUACUGACGCUCAUGCACGAAAGCGUGGGGAGCAAACAGGAUUAGAUACCCCAGUAGUCCCUGAGCGGGCUGGCAAGGCGCAU
rnacentral:rRNA from 1 species